GGGUAACGCCAAGUCUGGUGACUGAGCGGGCCUGUAAAGCCUGCGCCUUUGCGCAUGCGCGGUUCAAUUCCGCGGUUACCCACCA
rnacentral:tRNA from 1 species